UCCUAAUACAAUAGUUACUACUAAUCAUUUCCAACGGUUAGAAAUCAGGUAAUACGAGUGAACCUAAUUUCUUCCCCUUCUCUUUGAUUUCUCGACGUCCGGCGAGCAUCUACUGCCCGCUCCGGUGCAGCUCUUCCUCAUAACUAAAGAAGAAAGUGCAAUCCCACAUUUUAACAUGGUAUCUGCUGGUUACAAAUACGGUCAUGCUUCUGUAGAAAAAAAUGUCGAUGCUUCUCCAGAAGAAAGGGGCGUUGAUCUCUUCAGACUCAAGUGCUGUGACGGCGACAUCCCCAUCGAUCAUGCGAUCACCUCGUCGUAAGUCCCCAUUAUUUGUUAAACAUAGGCAUAAAUCACAUCGUUCUAGCAAGAACAGAAAAUCCGACCAGGUUUCUGCAAUCAAUGAUCGGGAAUCAGUUAUUAUCUGAAUUCCAACGAUCAUCCAGGGGCGCUCAUGGUCUCGGAUGAACUUGUUGGUGAGUCCAAU
rnacentral:lncRNA from 1 species